GUUGAAAGGAUUGUAUCAAUAACAGUGAUAAUUUGAGAUACUGUUAAUAUGUUUUCAGAAUUUAGCUUUUGUGACAGGUCAUUUUGCAUCAAGAGUUUCGUUAGACAGCACGUCAUUUUUAUUAUAUCCUACAGGUUGGAUCAUCCUAUAUACAGUAUAAAAGCAGUUCACAUUUUUUAUGUUUAUUGUUCAUUGUAAAAUCUUGAUUCUUCUUUUCAUAUUUAAGCUACGGUUUUUCCAAUUCAAUCAACCUCCAUUUCCAAUAAUUGGUAGAUUAAUUUAAAUAAUGAAGUUGCCUUUUUUCUCAGGUUGGAACGCCAUCCGUCCGCAAGGUGGGAAAUUUAGUUACUAGUACAUUUUCUUGUAUUAAAUCAUGUUCCGGUGGGUUUUUAACUGAAACAUUACAAGAAGCUUUGACGUUCUGCUUGAAUUUAUAAUUCUGUUCAAAUUUUUUUAUUUAUGUAAGUUACCAUUAGGUUGUAGAUUCCCAACUUAGGUGGUUCGUUAUUUGCUACUAGAUGUCAAAUUGUGAAUAUAUUGCUGCUGCAUUAACAACGCAUUUUCUGGUAGUAAUGUGGUGACGUCCUAUGUUGAUAAGGUCUCUUAAACUUGUCAAAAAUACACACGAAACGACAAGUGAGAGAUGCUAAAAUGGAAUUUCAAUUUGUUGUAAAUUUUCGUUCUGUUCCGUUUUCAGUACAGUGUUCACGCUUAUCUUAGUACGAUUUUAGGAAUGAAAUAACGGGAAAUAUAACUGUCAAGGUUAUUUUAACAAAAUGGUUAGGUGAUAUGAUUGCUGGCAGUUGGAAGUAAACGUCUGAAGAUUUCUUUAUAUUUAAUUAUUUUCACAUGUUUCCAAAAUAAAAUUUCUUUUUGUGUUUUGUUUCAUGGGGUCAUGUUUCCCCAUGACUUGUGAUAAACCCGUGUGAGUUCUGCUGAUACUUUGGCUAAAACGUUUUUUGUAUUUAUAUGAUAAAUUAUCAAUAAAACGCAAUUCGAAUAA